rnacentral:rRNA from 1 species
CCUACGGGUGGCAGCAGUGAGGAAUAUUGGUCAAUGGACGAGAGUCUGAACCAGCCAAGUAGCGUGAAGGAUGACUGCCCUAUGGGUUGUAAACUUCUUUUAUAUGGGAAUAAAAUGUUCCACGUGUGGGAUUUUGUAUGUACCAUAUGAAUAAUGAUCGGCUAACUCCGUGCCAGCAGCCGCGGUAAUACGGAGGAUCCGAGCGUUAGCCGGAUUUAUUGGGUUUAAAGGGAGCGUAGGUGGAUUGUUAAGUCAGUUGUGAAAGUUUGCGGCUCAACCGUAAAAUUGCAGUUGAAACUGGCAGUCUUGAGUACAGUAGAGGUGGGCGGAAUUCGUGGUGUAGCGGUGAAAUGCUUAGAUAUCACGAAGAACUCCGAUUGCGAAGGCAGUUCACUGGACUGCAACUGACACUGAGGCUCGAAAGUGUGGGUAUCAAACAGGAUUAGAUACCCUUGUAGUC